rnacentral:rRNA from 1 species
ACGCUGGCGGCGUGCUUAACACAUGCAAGUCGAACGGAAAGGCCCUGCUUUUGUGGGGUGCUCGAGUGGCGAACGGGUGAGUAACACGUGAGUAACCUGCCCUUGACUUUGGGAUAACUUCAGGAAACUGGGGCUAAUACCGGAUAGGAGCUCCUGCUGCAUGGUGGGGGUUGGAAAGUUUCGGCGGUUGGGGAUGGACUCGCGGCUUAUCAGCUUGUUGGUGGGGUAGUGGCUUACCAAGGCUUUGACGGGUAGCCGGCCUGAGAGGGUGACCGGCCACAUUGGGACUGAGAUACGGCCCAGACUCCUACGGGAGGCAGCAGUGGGGAAUAUUGCACAAUGGGCGGAAGCCUGAUGCAGCAACGCCGCGUGCGGGAUGACGGCCUUCGGGUUGUAAACCGCUUUCGCCUGUGACGAAGCGUGAGUGACGGUAAUGGGUAAAGAAGCACCGGCUAACUACGUGCCAGCAGCCGCGGUGAUACGUAGGGUGCGAGCGUUGUCCGGAUUUAUUGGGCGUAAAGGGCUCGUAGGUGGUUGAUCGCGUCGGAAGUGUAAUCUUGGGGCUUAACCCUGAGCGUGCUUUCGAUACGGGUUGACUUGAGGAAGGUAGGGGAGAAUGGAAUUCCUGGUGGAGCGGUGGAAUGCGCAGAUAUCAGGAGGAACACCAGUGGCGAAGGCGGUUCUCUGGGCCUUUCCUGACGCUGAGGAGCGAAAGCGUGGGGAGCGAACAGGCUUAGAUACCCUGGUAGUCCACGCUGUAAACGGUGGGUACUAGGUGUGGGGUCCAUUCCACGGGUUCCGUGCCGUAGCUAACGCUUUAAGUACCCCGCCUGGGGAGUACGGCCGCAAGGCUAAAACUCAAAGGAAUUGACGGGGCCCCGCACAAGCGGCGGAGCAUGCGGAUUAAUUCGAUGCAACGCGUAGAACCUUACCUGGGUUUGACAUGGAUCGGGAGUGCUCAGAGAUGGGUGUGCCUCUUUUGGGGUCGGUUCACAGGUGAUGCAUGGCUGUCGUCAGCUCGUGUCGUGAGAUGUUGGGUUAAGUCCCGCAACGAGCGCAACCCUUGUUCACUGUUGCCAGCACGUUAUGGUGGGGACUCAGUGGAGACCGCCGGGGUCAACUCGGAGGAAGGCGGGGAUGACGUCAAGUCAUCAUGCCCCUUAUGUCCAGGGCUUCACGCAUGCUACAAUGGCUGGUACAGAGAGUGGCGAGCCUGUGAGGGUGAGCGAAUCUCGGAAAGCCGGUCUCAGUUCGGAUUGGGGUCUGCAACUCGACCUCAUGAAGUCGGAGUCGCUAGUAAUCGCAGAUCAGCAACGCUGCGGUGAAUACGUUCCCGGGGCUUGUACACACCGCCCGUCAAGUCAUGAAAGUUGGUAACACCCGAAGCCGGUGGCCUAACCGUUGUGGGGGAGCCGUCGAAGGUGGGACUGG